UACGAAGGGGGCUAGCGUUGCUCGGAAUCACUGGGCGUAAAGGGUGCGUAGGCGGGUCUUUAAGUCAGGGGUGAAAUCCUGGAGCUCAACUCCAGAACUGCCCUUGAUACUGAAGGUCUUGAGUUCGGGAGAGGUGAGUGGAACUGCGGGUGUAGAGGUGAAAUUCGUAGAUAUUCGCAAGAACACCAGUGGCGAAGGCGGCUCACUGGCCCGAUACUGACGCUGAGGCACGAAAGCGUGGGGAGCAAACAGG
rnacentral:rRNA from 1 species